rnacentral:lncRNA from 1 species
GUUAUUAGAAGAUUAUGAUUGUUGUUUAUUAAGAGUUGUGUGUAUUUUGGACAAAAGAAGUUGGUGAUUAUGGAAAUUCUGUGAAUUCAGAUUGGUUGGAGUGAAGUCUGUUAUUCUUGAUGUUAGAUGGAAAUUAUUGUGUUUUGAGCGGUUUUUUGAGAGUGUAGAGUUAUACAUUGUUGUUAUCAAUUGAUGAAGAAAUAUUGUUAUUGGGAGAAAGCAUUGUAGUAUUUUUUAGUAUUUUAGUGGUUCGAAAUAUGGUUAAUUGUGUGA